UACAGAGACUGCAAGCGUUAUUCGGAUUCACUGGGCGUAAAGGGUGCGCAGGCGGCCGUGUGUGUGAGGCGUGAAAGCCCGGGGCUUAACCCCGGAAUUGCACCUCAAACUACAUGGCUAGAGCAUUGGAGAGGGUGGCAGAGUUCAUGGUGUAGCAGUGAAAUGCGUAGAUAUCAUGAGGAAUACCAGAGGCGAAGGCGGCUACCUGGACAAUUGCUGACGCUCAGGCACGAAAGCGUGGGGAGCAAAAGGG
rnacentral:rRNA from 1 species